UACUUAAGAAUAAUCAAGCAUUAACUAGGACAAUAAUGCAUUCAGUAGAAUUAUACACAGAAAUAUUCUUAAUUCUUGAGGAUAUUCUCUCUCUUUGUAUCUACCAUCGCACUUCUUUCAAGUCGAUGGAUAACCCUUUUUUUUUGUCAGUGUCAAGUGCUUGAAAAGCUAGAGCCUAGGGAGGAGUAGUUGCACCUUCUCUCACAAGGGCACGGGCAGGUUUCCAUGG
rnacentral:lncRNA from 1 species